rnacentral:rRNA from 1 species
AACGUAGGUGGCGAGGCGUUAUCCGGAUUCAUUGGGCGUAAAGAGCUUGUAGGUGGCGGCGUAAGUUGGACGUGAAAUCGCCCGGCUCAACCGGGCGGGUCGUUCAAUACUGCGCGGCUGGAGGAGGUCAGAGGGAAGUGGAAUUCCUGGUGUAGCAGUGAAAUGCGUAGAUAUACAGGAGGAACACCCGGUGGCGAAGGCGGCUC